AUUUAAUCUUCCUGAAGGUGUUAUCUGUGCAGGUGGAUAUGGCACAGACAAAGGAUUCUGUCAGGGUGACUCUGGCGGGCCUCUAGUGUGUGGUGGGACAGCAGUUGGUGUUGUGUCUUUCAACAUGAGAAAAAAACUGUGACUACCCAAAUGUACCCAACGUCUACACAGAUAUAUCAAAACACCUUCCCUGGAUUAAAAAAAUUCUCAAACAAAAGAAUUGUUAAAUGUAACAUAGCAUAACAUGGCAUGGUAUACUUCUCUUGUAUUGCAGAGGUAUUUCUGUGUUACAAUCACUCUGUGCUUGCUCUUCAUCUGAAACUCAAAAUAAAACCUCAAUUUGAAAUGUU